CAAUUGGCGUUCAGGGAUUGCGUGGCUCACUCUCAGGAUAUGCUGUUUGAGCCGAGUGUCAUCACAGCGACUCUUGGCGACUCUCCUGCUGAAUGCGCACAACGCUACUGUACAAUGCUGGUUUCAGGAAAUGAAGAAAAAUUGCAGAAAUACUGAGAGCUUUUUGGCUUCAAAUCUGUGUACAGGUGGGACGCGUAACCAAGUUGUCCAUAGUGUAUCCAGUCUAUGCUAUGAACUAUGUGCCGAUUAUUUAGUAGAACAAUUGAAGAGGGGAGGAAAGAGUUUUUAAAGCUCUUGCAACGGCACACACUGUAAUGUCUACCAGAAGGUAGCAGCACAUACUCUGUUGAUAGAAUAUGAGAAGGAUCAGACAGCACUCUAGUUGCCAGACUAAGCACUGUUUCCUCAAAGAUUAUCUGUAGAGAUAAAGAGUCCUUCCUACCGAUUACCUUCAUGGCUGUUCCUUCAAUUUUUGCUAUUCUUGUUUGGAGCCGGACAGAGAGAGUUCCAAACUAAGCUGCCAUGCCAUAUCUAAUAAUACUACCAAGUACCACGUGAUAGAAGGUUGUCAACCGAUUAAUCUGGAAAAAUUGGCACUGAAUGAUAAGUCGAAAUUCAAACCAGUUCAAUCAGCUGUUAUAAAUUCUUGAUUUAUUACAGUAAAAACAUGCUUUUAUUUUGAAAUAGAGGGUGCUACUAACUGUAGAUGAUAAGUUGCAGUGUAUGUAAAAUACCUAAGAGGCAGAAGUUCUUAUUUAUUUAGAUUCACAAUAAAUCUUUGAACAUCACUUUGACUAUUUUUGGAGGACUACUUAGUAGCUAGCUGCUGCUAUUGCUUCCCCUGUUUGUUCACUGCAUUUUAUUGCAAAGCUCAAUGAAGAAGAGUUGAAUGAGGACUGAAGUGCCGGCAUACAUAUCCCUGCAGGAGUCUUGUUUAUGUUGUCUAAAUGGUAAUGUUCAGUUAUGGGUAAGGUAAGACAUAAUCACCUUCUCACUGGGUGUGAAUUUGUGUGGUUAUUUUACGGUUUUCUAUUUCACAUUAGAUGUAUGCAAUGUUUAGAUAGAGAGAGAGUUGGACACAAUGCAGGGUUGCUGGGUUUUUUUUUAGCUUCCAUGUGUCCUGGGACCAGACCCGGGUUGUGUGCUUCUAGGAAAACUGCACCACAACAAACAACAAAGACUGAAGUUUAUGUAAGCAGCCAGAUCAUGACAUGAAUAAAAACACUUUUGUCCUCUGCCAACUGGGAACGGUCCUGGGUACGUUUAAUCCCCAGAGUUGGUUUGAAUAGCUUGUUCGCCAUAUUGCGUCUAUUUGCUGUAUGUUUAAAAAACUACACUGUUACUCUUCAGUUUCCACUUAAAUCCAACCUGCUGGCAUGUCUGGAGCCACAAUAAAAAAACUUUGUAGCUUCAGAGAAAAGCUGAUUAAUCUGAACUUACUUCGUUUUGCUUUUGACACUUUUUCAUAAUCUUCCACGAGAUUAAAAAUUGAAGGAUUUUGUGCAAGUUUUUAUGAGUUUCGUUGGGACUCUCAGCUUCUUUAAUAACACUUUAUCUGCUGAUGUGAGACAAGCCUACAGUCACAUUUCUUCCUGUCUCUGUUUUGAAGAAUGAUGGUGAAAUAUCGACUCACCAGACACAGUCCACACCACAGGCAGCCAGACAGAGGGUCUUAUUUUUAUGAGUUAUAGAAAAGUAGGUGUGUUGGCUGUUUGAGUUGUUUUGAAGCAUUUGGAGUCUGAAGGUGAAUUUAAUGGGACUUUGCUGAUGUGGCAGUGUACCCAUUACACUCCUUCAGCAUGCACCUUUUACAACACAUUGUUUUUUUGGUCACUCUCCACUGCUCUUACUGGUUGCCAGGAAACAGUAUCAGAUGAACGCUGGGUCUUAUCUUGUCACACUCCUAAUUUCCUGUGGACCGGCUCUCCCCUGUGGCUGCUGUUCCCGUGACGAUGGUGAUGAAGGAGAAGAGUGGGGGUGGGGGGGAGUGUAAUGACAGUGUGACUCCUGUUAAGACAACAGUGUAGUCACACAGGGUGGAGAGGCCAGUAAUGAGUGGGUAAACAAAUGUGGAACAUAUGGAGCUCUCCAUUGCCAGGGACAACAACUCCUCUGCAAAUAGAUCUCACAUUUCACAGGGAGAUAAGGCAGGACAAAGGACUUUCUUUUCUGCAGGACAAAGGAUUUGUACGGAUGUUUGCAUUCAGUAGGUCUUAGCAGGUUUUCACAGACAGUGAAUGUAGCACGCUCCCCUCAUCAGUGCAGCAAAUGCCGCAGGUCUAGUUAUUAUCAGGGAGUUUUGCAAAGGGCCUUUGGGGGCUGUUUUACUCGGUCUCAGUGGAGGUGUACGGUGAAUAUUACUUACACCACAGAAUAAGAAAGAUAACCCAGGCAAUUUUGAAUCCAGCAGGAGAUAGAUGGAUGGAUAGCCUGGGCUGGAGUAAGCGAGAAGUUUGUGAUAAAAACAGAGUAAUGUGUCCCCGCUGCCAGGCCUCCCCUGGAUCAGCAGCAGCAGGGAGUCCAGGACUGAAUGAAAUCCAUCUACUCAGUCAUAUUCUCCCAUUUCCUGAUAAGACUGAGUCAAAAUCUGAAUGAGCUCCAGGCACAGGAAGUGUAUUUAUUCAAGAUCUGAUCUUUGCUGAGUUAUGAGAUGGCUUUUGCUUUAGAUUAUUUCCUUUUUUCUACUUUUGAAAUGUUCACCUUUAUAAAAAGGUAACUUUCAGAUACAUAAUGAGUCAUUUGUUCUUGGUAAUUACUUGAAAACAACUCUAAUGUAGAAAUUAAAACCAAAAUGUAUCUCUCAAUACUUAAGUGCAGCUGCAGAACAUUGUUCUCGUUUGAUGCUUCAAACCUCAUCACUCCUCACUUAGAUGCAGAAAUUAAGGAGGGAUUGCAAAGUACCAUAAAAUGUCUGUAGUCUGAAUCUGCAGGUAGAUGCUAGGGUGGUGUUGGGGCUGACGGUUUGAGUGCAGCACUGGUGCA
rnacentral:lncRNA from 1 species